rnacentral:rRNA from 1 species
UAGGGAAGCGAAAGCAGACCGACCCUUCGGGAGUCUGUUACAGGUGUUGCAUGGCUGUCGUCAGCUCGUGUCGUGAGAUGUUCGGUUAAGUCCGCUAACGAGCGCAACCCGCGUUGUGUGUUACAAGUGUCACACAAUACCGCCGGUAUUAAGUCGGAGGAAGGUGCGGAUGACGUCAAGUCAGCAUGACCUUUAUAUCCAGGGCUACACACACGCUACAAUGGUCAGCACAAUAGGUUGCCAAGUCGUGAGACGGAGCCAAUCCUCCAAAGCUGGCCUCAGUUCAGAUUGUAGGCUGCAACCCGCCUGCAUGAAGUUGGAGUUGCUAGUAACCGCAGGUCAGCUAUACUGCGGUGAAUACGUUCCCGGGGAUU